AGAGUUUGAUCAUGGCUCAGGAUGAACGCUAGCUACAGGCUUAACACAUGCAAGUCGAGGGGAAACGACAUCGAAAGCUUGCUUUUUGAUGGGCGUCGACCGGCGCACGGGUGAGUAACGCGUAUCCAACCUGCCCACCACUUGGGGAUAACCUUGCGAAAGUAAGACUAACACCCAAUGAUAUCUCUAGAAGACAUCUGAAAGAGAUUAAAGAUUUAUCGGUGAUGGAUGGGGAUGCGUCUGAUUGGCUUGUUGGCGGGGUAACGGCCCACCAAGGCAACGAUCAGUAGGGGUUCUGAGAGGAAGGUCCCCCACAUUGGAACUGAGACACGGUCCAAACUCCUACGGAGGCAGCA
rnacentral:rRNA from 1 species